rnacentral:rRNA from 1 species
GACGAACGCUGGCGGCGUGCUUAACACAUGCAAGUCGAACGGAAAGGCCCUGCGUUUGUGGGGUGCUCGAGUGGCGAACGGGUGAGUAACACGUGAGUAACCUGCCCUUGUCUGUGGGAUAACUUCAGGAAACUGGGGCUAAUACCGGAUAGGAGCUCCUGCUGCAUGGUGGGGGUUGGAAAGUUUCGGCGGUUGGGGAUGGACUCGCGGCUUAUCAGCUUGUUGGUGGGGUAGUGGCUUACCAAGGCUUUGACGGGUAGCCGGCCUGAGAGGGUGACCGGCCACAUUGGGACUGAGAUACGGCCCAGACUCCUACGGGAGGCAGCAGUGGGGAAUAUUGCACAAUGGGCGGAAGCCUGAUGCAGCAACGCCGCGUGCGGGAUGACGGCCUUCGGGUUGUAAACCGCUUUCGCCUGUGACGAAGCGUGAGUGACGGUAAUGGGUAAAGAAGCACCGGCUAACUACGUG